rfam:Brachypodium distachyon strain Bd21 chromosome 3, whole genome shotgun sequence.
GAGGGUACCCUUUGACCCUCCUUAGUUUAACCAAAUGUACUAAAAUUUUACAAUGACACAACUUUUUGGAAAACUAAUUCAUUUGUUUAAACUAAGGAGGGUCAGAGGAUACCUG